rnacentral:rRNA from 1 species
GACGAACCACACGAACGUUAUUCGGAAUUACUGGGCUUAAAGGGUGCGUAGGCGGCGCGGUAAGUAGGGUGUGAAAUCCCUCGGCUCAACCGAGGAACUGCGCUCUAAACUACCGUGCUCGAGGGAGGUAGAGGUGAGCGGAACUUAGGGUGGAGCGGUGAAAUGCGUUGAUAUCCUAAGGAACACCGGUGGCGAAAGCGGCUCACUGGAUCUCUACUGACGCUGAGGCACGAAAGCUAGGGUAGCGAACGGG